rnacentral:rRNA from 1 species
CCUACGGGAGGCAGCAGUGGGGAAUAUUGGACAAUGGGCGCAAGCCUGGUCCAGCAAUGCCGCGUGAGUGAUGAAGGCCUUAGGGUCGUAAAGCUCUUUUACCAGGGAUGAUAAUGACAGUACCUGGAGAAUAAGCUCCGGCUAACUCCGUGCCAGCAGCCGCGGUAAUACGGAGGGAGCUAGCGUUGUUCGGAAUUACUGGGCGUAAAGCGUACGUAGGCGGUUAUUCAAGUCAGAGGUGAAAGCCCGGGGCUCAACCCCGGAACGGCCUUUGAAACUAGGUAGCUAGAAUCUUGGAGAGGUCAGUGGAAUUCCGAGUGUAGAGGUGAAAUUCGUAGAUAUUCGGAAGAACACCAGUGGCGAAGGCGACUGACUGGACAAGUAUUGACGCUGAGGUACGAAAGCGUGGGGAGCAAACAGGAUUAGAUACCCUGGUAGUCCACGCCGUAAACGAUGAUAACUAGCUGUCCGGGCACUUGGUGCCUGGGUGGCGCAGCUAACGCAUUAAGUUAUCCGCCUGGGGAGUACGGUCGCAAGAUUAAAACUCAAAAGUAGUAAGUAGGACGUCGUAGAACGUAGCGACGACGGACCAACCGACGGGAGGGUAAGG